UGUUCCAGGGCACUAGCAUCACCCGCCCUCAGGGCUUCUGCUCAACUUCUUGGCCCAUCAUGAUGGCACCACCUCUUCCCAAACCAGGUCACUGUUUCACUCAGAGAAGAUGAUUAAACUGCUGCAUCAAGGCCAAGGCCUAUGACCGAGUCGGGAACUGCAAGACAAGGGAUGUUAAGACUGUGAGUAAAGGAAACCUCCACCCAGGGCUUAGGGGUGGGUCCUGGCGCUUUAAUUUCACUUAACCCGAUUUUCCAAACUUGUCUCUGCUUUUCCUACUUCUGCUUUUUCUUUUGUCUAUUAAUAUCUCACAUAAAUGAAGAUGAUUUUGGAAGCCACAGGUCAUCUCUGUAGAGCAUCGACAACCUAGAAGGGUUCAGAAUCGGUGGUGUACUCAUGGAUUCAAAGUCCACACCUGCCCUGUGCCCUUGGAAUGUCACCGAUGGCAGGAUUCUGGGGACUUAUAGAUGGAUGUGUGUGUCUGAUGAAUCCCCCUCCUCAUUGGCAGUGUCCCCAUGUGGGAAAGGAGACAGGAAGCAACUCUUUGGUCACCAUGCUGGGUAGCUCAUAUAAAUCAUCUCCUCUAAUGUCUACUAGCCCCCCUGAGAGAACGGCAUAUGCACUUCACGGUCUAGGGAAGCUGCAUCCUAGUUGCUAGCAAGUGCUUUGCAUCCAUUAACUUAUGUCCCUUGGUUCUCAUUGCUGUUCCCUUUAUGAAAACAGAACAGAUUUGCCCCCCUCCUCUUUUAAAAGCUUUACGCAAGACUAAGAAGACUCUCUAGUAAAUGCCUCCCAGGUGACUUAGAUAGGCUACAGGACAUCUCUGCUGCCUUGUUUCCAGACAGUGACUUAGGAUUGUGAGAGCAAUGGCUUCUAUCUUCAGGACCCCAGGGACUCAAUUCCAUCCCAAAUGCCACUCUUGGAAAAAUGAUCCAACAAGGUGUGGGCUUGGGGCCUCUGUAAAUGCUGUGCUAACUCACUGGACACCAAGCUCAGGGCAUGUACCUGACGAUGGCAACCAAGGCCAACAGGCACAUUCCCAUUUCCACUUCCCUUUCAGCUUGGGCACUCACCAGUGCAAAUGAAGCCACUAGUGUUGAUACCUGAGGGAAGAGAGGCAGGGGGCCCGGGUGAGUGGAACACUGCCCUGGGAUGCCAAAUCUCCUGACCACCCCCUUCAUGGGUCCAUUUUGAUUUUGGGGGCACCCAAUUUGGCCCCCUCCUCCAUCUCCUUUCAGGCUGCCCUUGAUCCAUAAUGCCUGUCAACCUCAGGCAGCCCCGUUGGCGAGAUCCGGGAUGCACUUUGGGAGGAGGAAAGGGCGAACUCUGUAGCAAUGUUCUCCCAAGGGUCAGAAUUGCUGUUCACUUCUUCCCUUGGGGAGAAGCCUGGGUCUUUGCCAGCCCUGUGCCUAAAAGCACAUUCAGCAAUUCUCCAGAACAACAGAUUCAGCAAGCAGGGUGCGUGGAACCACGCAGUGGGGCACAGUGGAGAGCGUCUGUUUGCUAAAUAAAAGGCAGGUAAUCCCAGCAAUCAGCUCCCUUCCUGACUAAGGGCCGUAGUCACGUAAACAGCAUUAGCUGGGAAUGAAGUCGUUGGUUCUGCCAACAGCUGCCUUCGUCACUGACCCACAGCAUGCCUGUUCUAGUGAUCUGCCUCACCUGCCAUGGGGUGAAACGUCUGGGCUCCCCAGGUUGCAGAAUGGGACUAAAGGUCUCUGUGUGUCAGCCCUAGACUUAGUUAUUAGCAUGCAAUAAGCAGACCAUCAACCCUGGGAAGUUUGGAGUCCCACUAUAACCUGAAUAUGGCUCCUGACCGUUUUCUGACCUCUUGAUCAUCUGUCCAUUGGUACGUGAGUAAAUAAUGCAAAUUAAUCAUAAUCAUUUCCUAAGCAAACAAAGUUACUUUGGCAAUUAUACCAGCUCCAAAGUGCAGGGCAAUGUGGCCCUAACGAACAUGGGAGGGUGUAUCUGAUCUCCUGGCUGACCACUGAUGACGUCCCCUCAGGUAACAUGUAGCUGACAGCCAGGCCUGGCCUCUAGAACAUCAUCAGGGCUUUUCAUCAAGACUCCAGGAGAAAAUAAAUGCACAUAUCAUCUGUGCCCUUGGCAUGGGCAGCAAGGGUGACCUUGAUUUUCAGGUGUGCACAGCUACCUUUGACCUUCAAGUCCCACUGGAGAGGCAUAGGCACGAUCCCAACGAAAAGGAAGCUGCCUGAGUCAGCCCCCAGCGACCUUGCGUAGUCCACCAUUGUCCUUGUGUCUUAGCACUUCAGUCUGCAAUCAAUCAAUGCCCAUUUGGUGCUCAGCAAAUCCCACAGAGAUGUUCAGUUCAAGGACUCUGGACGGACGUGCAGGACGGAUCUCAAGGACAUGGUGGUAUUUGACAACUCUCCUUAUGCCAAUGUGGAUCAAAAGAUAUUUUGUACAAUGUUCCUAAAUAUAACUCCUAAGAAUUGCAUGAGGUCUUGGAAGAAAACGGGGGGAGAGAGAAGCCUUCCAAGUGGGACUCCCGGUGGCUUACACAAGCUUCCUCUGCCUCAGCACCACACACAGGGCCAACAGCACCACCGUGCUGAAAGCCUUGCUUUGCCUUUUCUGUCCCCACUUAUUGUAGCUUUUGACCUUCUAGGUCAAAGAGCAAAGUGUAAUUACAAAGUUCAUUGUCCACUAGCCUGUGUAAGAGGACAUUUUCU
rnacentral:lncRNA from 1 species